AUUGAACGCUGGCGGCAUGCCUUACACAUGCAAGUCGAACGGCAGCACGGGAGCAAUCCUGGUGGCGAGUGGCGAACGGGUGAGUAAAGUAUCGGAACGUGCCCAGUCGUGGGGGACAACGUAGCGAAAGUUACGCUAAUACCGCAUACGAUCUAUGGAUGAAGCGGGGGAUCGCAAGACCUCGCGCGAUUGGAGCGGCCGAUAUCAGAUUAGGUAGUUGGUGGGGUAAAGGCUCACCAAGCCGACGAUCUGUAGCUGGUCUGAGAGGACGACCAGCCACACUGGGACUGAGACACGGCCCAGACUCCUACGGGAGGCAGCAGUGGGGAAUUUUGGACAAUGGGCGAAAGCCUGAUCCAGCCAUGCCGCGUGCAGGAUGAAGGCCUUCGGGUUGUAAACUGCUUUUGUACGGAACGAAAAGGUUUGGGCUAAUAAGCUGAGCUCAUGACGGUACCGUAAGAAUAAGCACAGGCUAACUACGUGCCAGCAGCCGCCGCAG
rnacentral:rRNA from 1 species